AGCUUUGUACAGUGGCAGUAUCGCAGCCAAUGAGGUUUACCUGAGGCCUGAUUAUUGCUAAUUGAAUAUUGCAAUAUAUAGUUCCUCAUUUAGUGACCAAUUUAUAUAAUGGCCUACUCACAGG
rnacentral:snRNA from 1 species